GAUGAACGCUGGCGGCGUGCCUAAUACAUGCAAGUCGAGCGAACGGACGAGAAGCUUGCUUUUCUGAUGUUAGCGGCGGACGGGUGAGUAACACGUGGAUAACCUACCUAUAAGACUGGGAUAACUUCGGGAAACCGGAGCUAAUACCGGAUAAUAUUUUGAACCGCAUGGUUCAAAAGUGAAAGACGGUCUUGCUGUCACUUAUAGAUGGAUCCGCGCUGCAUUAGCUGGUUGGUAAGGUAACGGCUUACCAAGGCAACGAUGCAUAGCCGACCUGAGAGGGUGAUCGGCCACACUGGAACUGAGACACGGUCCAGACUCCUACGGGAGGCAGCAGUAGGGAAUCUUCCGCAAUGGGCGAAAGCCUGACGGAGCAACGCCGCGUGAGUGAUGAAGGUCUUCGGAUCGUAAAACUCUGUUAUUAGGGAAGAACAUAUGUGUAAGUAACUGUGCACAUCUUGACGGUACCUAAUCAGAAAGCCACGGCUAACUACGUG
rnacentral:rRNA from 1 species